GACGAACGCUGGCGGCGUGCUUAACACAUGCAAGUCGAGCGGUAAGGCCCUUUCGGGGGUACACGAGCGGCGAACGGGUGAGUAACACGUGGGUGACCUGCCCUCAGCUCUGGGAUAAGCCUGGGAAACCGGGUCUAAUACUGGAUAUGACUCCAUGACGCAUGUUGUGGGGUGGAAAGCCUUGUGCGGCUGAGGAUGGGCCCGCGGCCUAUCAGCUUGUUGGUGGGGUGANGGCCUACCAAGGCGACGACGGGUAGCCGGCCUGAGAGGGCGACCGGCCACACUGGGACUGAGACACGGCCCAGACUCCUACGGGAGGGCAGCAGUGGGGAAUCUUGCGCAAUGGGCGAAAGCCUGACGCAGCGACGCCGCGUGAGGGAUGAC
rnacentral:rRNA from 1 species